GUAACCCCUGCAGUGCCAGGUCCAGCAGCCUAUGUUUACCUACUGUGUGUGUGCAUGCAGGGGGUCUGAUGUGUUAUACAUAAAUCAGGUGCACUGACACAAUCCUUAGGACUGACGACUCCCACCACAUAGAGUAUCAGUUCCUGUGCUCCCACCCUGGGCCCUGGCUAUAGGAAUGGCAGUAAACAGUUAACAGCAGGAGCUGCAGGAGGGGGAGAUGAAUAGGCAGUGGGCUGCACACAACACUGAUCGACUGUGGCCGUGCAGAUCAGAUGUCAGCUAGUGUGGAGAUGUCCCGAGACAGUUAAUUACCUGACGCUGCUGAGUGAUGCCAAUGUGACAAUGAUUGGUCUUGAAGUUCUUCCCUGCUUGAAAAAAUAAGACGUACAAUACAUAUGAUUGAAAAAAAAAAAGAAAAAAAGAAAUUAUAACAGAUACAAGGCUUCAGAAAAUACAGGAUACAAUAGUGAAGGCAUGGAGAAUGAACUGAUGUAAUGAAAUAAGGAAUUCACCCUGAACUUUUUUGUGUGUCCACUCCUUCACUCUUAUAUCCAAGCUGGGUGACCAGUCUUGAGCCAAGACAUAUGUUAUGUAAUGUCUUUUCCCUAUAAUGUCGAUCUGCUGUCAAGUUGGUAUGUCCCAGAUAUUUGGCAAAGAGACUCUUCUGAACAUCAGAGUACUGAGAUAAAAUCCAAGUUUCACAUGCCCUCCGUACCAUCUGGCUUGUAAUAUUUUGCAGUCUAUGCCUAGAAAGUGUUAUAGGAAAAAUAUAUUUAGGUUACAAAAACUUAAUAUUUAUCUAUUGUCAAGUUUGUUUACUGCCUUCAUAACUACAGGACAUGCUGCCAUAUGUGUUGUGUGUGGGCAGAUAAUGGGUGGCAAUGUGAAGGUAUGUGAUCAGUAUCUGUUGACAAACUCAGUACGUUAUUGUGUCUAGUAUCUAGUGCACUAAAAAUAGGCAGGUGUAUAAUAUUACACAAAAUUAAUCUAGCUUAAUUAUAAUUUACAGUUAAAUUACACCAUAAAUAUUACAAUUAACUGCAUAGUUACUAUAUUUGGGCCACCAUAAAUGUGUAUAACUUACCAGACUACUUACUUUACAUGAAAGUGACGAAGGUCGUUAGAAACUUUAUAUAUUUUAUUUCCCGAUGUUGAUAUAAAAAAUGCUUCUUGGGGAUUAUCUUCUUUUACUAAUGAAGGCCGUACCACAUCAAAAUAAGUUUUGAACCACUAGGGGGGAAAUAAAAUAAAAAAAUAUUAUAUUAUAAUAUAUUAAAUAUAUUAUAUUAUAUUAAAUAUAUUAUAUUAAAUAGAAAUAAUGGUGUUAAUAUUCAUUAAUAUUUUAAUUUUCUUUUAAAGCUCAUAUUCUAUCAUUUUGAUCUAAAAUCUAUCCUCGUGUAUCAAUGCCUAUUUCCCUAUAGGCUGUAAGCUUGUGAGCAGGGCCCUCCUACCUCUACGUCAAUCUGUUAGUACCCAGUUUUGUUUUAUCACUGUUUCCAACUGUAAAACACAAUGAUACAUACAUACCAUUUCUUCUUCUUCUGUGAGCGCAAACGUCUCCACUUGAUUUGCAGCAGUUUUAUGGUUUUUAACUCCUAUGAUAACAAGGAUUUCGGAAAUACAUUCUGAUGUGAAGGUGUGACGAACCCUUUCAUGCCAUUCCUCAACCUGAGAACAUGAGGAUUCAAUAUCAACAUUAAAUAUCACAUUUAUACUUUAUAUUUAACAUUAAUAUUGUAAGUUUCAAUAAUCAAUAUCAAAUAUUGCUUACAGUCAUAUUAGCAACCACUCCAGGUCUUUGGAGGUGUUUCAAGAUAAGUAAUGCCUCUAGAUAGUACAGAAUACAGAUCUUAUCUUUGACCAACAGUUUAUCACCGAUAUCAGCCCUGUAGAUGCAAUUCAGGAAAUCUGGUUUUGCAACAUCUAGUAGCUGAUUACAAUCCAGUGGCUGCAAUGGAUCUUUUGUCAAUCUUUUGUACCUGCAGAUCAUAUGAUUAAAAGGUUGAUUAAAAAAUGAUUGAAGUAAAAUGGAAGAUCACAAAUUAAUAUAAAGUCCAAUCUCAACCGGUACAAGUUCAAAAAGGUACAAAUGGAGGAGAUCAUAGUAACUGACAUGACAUUCAAAUUGGUUGAUCUUACUUUUUGAUGACCUUUUCCCUCGAUACACCUUUACACAGUUUUUUCUGAAUUGCAUUGAUUACUUUAAGAAAAUGUCUGCAGGCUUGAAAUAGCUGUGGAUCAGUUGCUCCAAGAUUGGUGUCUGUUGUCUGAUAUUGUAUAAAUCUCCGUAUACUUUUUAAAUAAUUAAAUUGUGUUUGGCUACAGAGA